AGUCGAACGAGAAAGUGGAGCAAUCCACGAGUAAAGUGGCGACCGGGUGAGUAACACGUGACUAACCUACCUCCGAGUGGGGAAUAACUCCGGGAAACCGGGGCUAAUACCGCAUAACAUCGCAAGAUCAAAGCAGCAAUGCGCUUGGAGAGGGGGUCGCGGCUGAUUAGCUAGUUGGCGGGGUAACGGCCCACCAAGGCGAAGAUCGGUAUCCGGCCUGAGAGGGCGCACGGACACACUGGAACUGAAACACGGUCCAGACUCCUACGGGAGGCAGCAGUGGGGAAUUUUGCGCAAUGGGGGAAACCCUGACGCAGCAACGCCGCGUGGAGGAUGAAGUCCCUUGGGACGUAAACUCCUUUCGACCAAGACGAUAAUGACGGUACUGGUGGAAGAAGCACCGGCUAACUCUGUGCCAGCAGCCGCGGUAAUACAGAGGGUGCGAGCGUUGUUCGGAAUUAUUGGGCGUAAAGGGCGCGUAGGCGGUGCCACAAGUCACCUGUGAAAUCUCCGGGCUUAACUCGGAGUCUGCAGGCGAAACUGUGGUGCUGGAGUGUGGGAGAGGUGCGUGGAAUUCCCGGUGUAGCGGUGAAAUGCGUAGAUAUCGGGAGGAACACCUGUGGCGAAAGCGGCGCACUGGACCAUAACUGACGCUGAGGCGCGAAAGCUAGGGGAGCAAACAGGAUUAGAUACCCUGGUAGUCCUAGCCCUAAACGAUGAUUGCUUGGUGUAGCAGGUACCCAAUCCUGCUGUGCCGCAGCU
rnacentral:rRNA from 1 species